GCGAUGGCUCAGUGGUAGAGCACUGGUCUUGUAACCGGGAGGUCCUUGGUUCGAACCCAAGUCAAUGCU
rnacentral:tRNA from 1 species